GCUUCCCUCUUUCUUCGUGCCUAAUACAUGCAAGUCGAGCGAACAGAUGAGGAGCUUGCUCCUCUGACGUUAGCGGCGGACGGGUGAGUAACACGUGGAUAACCUACCUAUAAGACUGGGAUAACUUCGGGAAACCGGAGCUAAUACCGGAUAAUAUAUUGAACCGCAUGGUUCAAUAGUGAAAGACGGUUUUGCUGUCACUUAUAGAUGGAUCCGCGCCGCAUUAGCUAGUUGGUAAGGUAACGGCUUACCAAGGCAACGAUGCGUAGCCGACCUGAGAGGGUGAUCGGCCACACUGGAACUGAGACACGGUCCAGACUCCUACGGGAGGCAGCAGUAGGGAAUCUUCCGCAAUGGGCGAAAGCCUGACGGAGCAACGCCGCGUGAGUGAUGAAGGUCUUCGGAUCGUAAAACUCUGUUAUUAGGGAAGAACAAAUGUGUAAGUAACUAUGCACGUCUUGACGGUACCUAAUCAGAAAGCCACGGCUAACUACGUG
rnacentral:rRNA from 1 species